CCUACGGGUGGCAGCAGUAGGGAAUAUUGCUCAAUGGCGGAAACGCUGAAGCAGCAACGCCGCGUGGAGGAUGAAGGUUUUCGGAUUGUUAACUCCUUUUUUUAGAGAAGAUAAUGACGGUAUCUAACGAAUAAUCACCGUACAACUACGUGACAGCAGCCGUGGUAAUGUGGAGGGUGCAACCGUUACUCGGAAUAACUGGGCGUUAACAGGUGUUAGGGGGUAUAGCAAGUCUGAUGUGAAAUCCUAUGGCUUAACCAUAGAACUGCAGUUGAAACUGUUAUUCUAGAGUAUGGGAGAGGUAGGUGGAAUUGUUGGUGUAGGGGUAAAAUCCGUAGAGAUCAAGAGGAAUACUCAUUGCGAAGGCAGCCUGCUAGAACAUAACUGACGCUGAUGCGCGAAAGCGUGGGGAGCGAACAGGAUUAGAUACCCGAGUAGUC
rnacentral:rRNA from 1 species